rnacentral:rRNA from 1 species
AUGCGGAGGGCGCAAGCGUUGUUCGGAAUCAUUGGGCGUAAAGCGCGUGUAGGCGGCUUGGCAAGUCGGGUGUGAAAGCCCGGGGCUCAACCCCGGAACUGCACUCGAAACUGCCAAGCUAGAGUCCCGGAGAGGAAGGCGGAAUUCCCGGUGUAGAGGUGAAAUUCGUAGAUAUCGGGAGGAACACCAGCGGCGAAGGCGGCCUUCUGGACGGUGACUGACGCUGAGACGCGAAAGCGUGGGGAGCAAACAGGAUUAGAAACCCCAGUAGUCC